UUCACCUGUUUCCCUGCCUUGUGGCCACCUGUCCCUUGUUAGUCCUCGUUAUCCUGUGUAUUUAGUUUCUGUGUUUCCUUGGUGUUUUGUGGGAUUAUUAUGUUACAUUUCUGUUGCUGGUCGGUGUGUCUCGUUCCUGUUGUUCCUGUCGUUCCUCCCUGUGUCAGUUCGUGUCUAGCUCUGUGCUUCCUGGAUUUCCCUGGUUUUUCAUUUGGGUCCAACCUCCAGUGCCAUUCCUUGUCCGAAUAUUCCC